CCUACGGGUGGCUGCAGUGGGGGAUAUUGCACAAUGGGGGAAACCCUGAUGCAGCGACGCCGCAUGUGGGAAGACGGUCCUCUGGAUUGUAAACCACUGUCCCCAGGGACGAAGAUGACGGUACCUGGGGAGGAAGCUCCGGCUAACUACGUGCCCGCAGCCGCGGUAAUACGUAGGGAGCGAGCGUUGUCCGGAAUUACGGGGUGUAAAGGGAGCGUAGGCGGGGAUGCAAGUUGGGUGUCAAAACUACCGGCUAAACUGGUAGUCGCACUCAAAACUGCCGCUCUUGAGUGAAGUAGAGGCAGGCGGAAUUCCUAGUGUAGCGGUGAAAUGCGUAGAUAUUAGGAGGAACACCAGUGGCGAAGGCGGCCUGCUGGGCUUUUACUGACGCUGAGGCUCGAAAGUGUGGGGAGCAAACAGGAUUAGAUACCCCGGUAGUC
rnacentral:rRNA from 1 species